rnacentral:rRNA from 1 species
AUGAAACUCUUAGCCUGGAAUUGUCGGGGACUUGAGAAUGCCCCGGCGAUUCGUGCUUUGCUGGAUGUCCAGCGAAGAUGCAACCCCGAGGUGCUGUUUUUGUCGGAGACGCGCCUUGAUUCGGCUGAAUGUCUGCGUGGAAGGCUCAGGAUGGACCAAAAAUUAGUAUGUCCGGGUGAUGGGAGGAAAGGAGGUUUAAUUUAUUGCUUUUUUGGAAUAAUAAUGUAA